rnacentral:rRNA from 1 species
UCGCUGCGUGUUACAAGUGUCACGCAGGACCGCCGGUAUUAAGCCGGAGGAAGGUGGGGAUGACGUCAAGUCAGCAUGGCCUUUAUGCCUGGGGCUACACACACGCUACAAUGGGCAGUACAAUGGGUUGCUAAGCCGCGAGGUGGAGCCAAUCCCCCAAAACUGUCCUCAGUUCAGAUUGCAGGCUGCAACUCGCCUGCAUGAAGCCGGAGUUGCUAGUAAACGCGCGUCACUUAUGUGCGUUGAAUACGUUCUCGGGCCUU